UACGUAGGGUGCAAGCGUUAAUCGGACUUACUGGGCGUAAAGCGUGCGCAGGCGGUGAUGUAAGACAGGUGUGAAAUCCCCGGGCUUAACCUGGGAACUGCAUUUGUGACUGCAUCGCUGGAGUGCGGCAGAGGGGGAUGGAAUUCCGCGUGUAGCAGUGAAAUGCGUAGAUAUGCGGAGGAACACCGAUGGCGAAGGCAAUCCCCUGGGCCUGCACUGACGCUCAUGCACGAAAGCGUGGGGAGCAAACAGG
rnacentral:rRNA from 1 species